UUCGAGAAAUAAGAAAAUCUUCUCUCUUUUUUUUUUAUUAUUGAACAUUUACUUUUCAACUUGAAAAAAAAAACACUUUUUCUUUGAUUUCUUUCUUCAUUAAUCAAAACUCAUUUCCGUUCUUGCCUCAAGAAUCAAAAAGAUUAAGAGAAAUUUGUUUGCAUGGAAGGAUUUUCAUCUCCGUUUUUGUUUGCAUGAAGAGAUUUUGGUUUUAAAAAAUUCUAAAGACUUAAAAGAAAUUCUUUUGAAUGUUAGUUUUGAUUUGAAAAAAAAAAUUAUUGGAGUAGUUUUGAAAACUAUGAUCAGUGUCGAAACCACCAAAUAUAAUUCCUACAAAAUAACCCUAAUUAGUAGUAAGAGUGGUAGUAAGGUCGAUAUGCUAUAAUCAACUUCCGUGUAUAGCUUAUGAUCAAAUUGUUUGUUGUGUCGAAGGUCGUGGCAACAGUCGUGCCCACGACUCCAAUCGUACCUGCAAAAAUUAGAAAUAAAAGUAAAUCGGGGGUUUUUGAAAUGUUUAGAAACUAGAUAAUUGAAACAGCAUAAAUAAUUAAUUAACUAAAUUAGAAAAUAAAUUUAGAAUUUUGCAACAGAUAAAAUAAGUUAGACUCGGUAAAUUUCGUAUCAAGAAUCGAUCAUUGAAAAUUUAUCUUCUCCUCCAAAUGAUAAGCUGGUUAUAGUAGUUAAGAACGUCCUAACCACCAAUUCUUCCUCUCGUAACUGGUUCCGAUACGACCGGCAAACUAACCCUUACCGAUUAUUUAACCGAGAUACACGUGUUCCCGAUUCAAGAUUCCGACAGCCUUGCAUUCUGAAGAACCCAACUCGAAUUAACGGCCUCAACCUCGUGGGUCGUUUAAAUCUGAUCACCUCUUCCUCGAUUUGUUCUCGGAGAUCCGAAUACAGCACGGCCGACUUGUUUCUCUAACUGUCAGCUAACACGAUUCCAACCCAACGUGCACUUUUUGACUUGUAAUUAAGUUAACCUUAAGGGAUGAGUUGUCAAUCUCGAUACUUAGGAAAAGAAUGAAUACCGAUUGGACGAAUUUUAGCAUGAAUUCGUAUCUCAUGAUUCCCGACCGAAAAGAACACCGACCUAAAGCUAAGAUGAAAUUUAGUAAAGUAUGAAUUUAUUCAUGCUUAUAAGUUGUGGAAGGUGAUUGAAUUUGUAUGAUAAUGGAAGAAAUUGGAGGAUAAAAGGCUUGGGAAGCAAUUGGACGAAUUUAGAAAAAACAAAGAAAUUGAAAUGAGAUGGACAAAAUUCUCACGUCAAAGUGAAAGAGAAAAGAAAAUAACUCAAUUCCAAAUGGAAAUAGGAAAAGAGAGAAUAAUCCAAUUCCAAGUAGGAAUACAAAAGUAAUGGAUGAUUUUCUAAGAACAUAAAGCCCCUAUUUAUAUACAUGGGGUUUACUAAAUUUAGCCUAAACUAAUUUAAUAUAAAAUCAAAAAUAAAAUAAAAUAAGAUUUUCCUAUUUUUGGCUUUUACAAAGUCAAAACAUUUGAUGUGUCAUUGGCUUCCUCCACCUUUUUUAUUUGGCCCCAUUUCAAUGAUUGUCUUUCAAAUUGGCCCUUUUUAGCUUAUUUUUAACUAAUUGCAUCCCUGACAAGAUUAAAUUAUAAAAGCACUUAAUUAGCAGGGUUCAGUUAAAAAAUAAACCAAAUUAAACACAAAAAAUAUGCAAAUUAACAUGUUUAUCAAACUAUUUUUUGGGAUUUAGGCUUUAGAUUUCACAAGAGAAAAUAAAGGGAUCAUGUCAAAAAAGAAAAAACCUAGUCGCCAAGAGUGCUUUGCUAAGAGUCCUAGAGAGAGCAAUAGUUGUUGUAGCUUGAGAUGGAGGAAAGUGAUGGUGAUGAUAGAGAGGGGAGAGAUGAGAUUUCCCUUUUAACAGAAGAACUUAUUCAAUUAUCAGUUAAAGGUUUGAUGGUGGUGCCAAGUGCAAAACCAACUUUGAUUUGUACAAUCUAGACAGAGAAGUUUUAUAAUCCAGAAAGUUUUAAAGCACAGAUGAGAAGUAUAUGGAAGACAAGGAAAAAAAUUGAAACUCUGAUGGUAGGGCAGAAUUUAUUUUUGAUGAGUUUAAAUUAGAAGAGGAUCUGGAGACAAUUAUGGAUGGUAGACCAUGGUUUUUCCGUAAAAGUAUUAUAUUGUUUGACAGAUUAAUUCAAUCAAUGGAAAGGGCACAGAUUUAACUUACUUCAUCACCGUUUUGGAUAAAAAUAGAAUCGUGCUUACCAGAGUUUGAUAAGAAGGAUCUUUUACAUGCCAUUGGUGUCACGUUUGGUGGGGUAAUCAGAUCUGAAACCAAUGGGGACACAUGUCAUCUGAGGGUUAAUUUGGAUGUGCAGAAACCCCUUCGACGAGGUAUUUUUGUCUCAAUUGAUAAUAUUAAUCAAUUGUGGAUUUCCUUCAAGUAUGAGAAACUACCGAUGUUUUGCUUUGGCUGUGGAAGAAUCGGGCACGGUCUUAAAGACUGCCUUGAGUUAAAUCCUGUAAAAAAGAAAAAUUUAGAGAAGAUCCACCUUACACGUUGGCUUUAAAAGCAUAAUUUAAUUUAAUUGGGAAGGAGAGCAUGAAAUUUAAUGCUUUUUCAAAAAAGGUGGGAGUUUAAUGCUCUUAUACAGGUGGUACAGAGUUACUGCCAACUAGUAUUAAAACACCUAUUGAGGGAAAUAACAGGUCUUGGAGGUCACAAAGGAUUCUGAAAUAGACUGAAGUAGAAGAGGCGAUCGAGAAGCAGGAGGAAGCAUCUCUAAUAAAAAAAGAUGAAUAGCUAGAUGAAAGUAAUGAUAAGCAGGUUAAUAUUUCAAAUUUUACCAAGAAGACAAGUUGGAAAAGAAUUGCACCAGUAGUCAUGAUAAAUCAAGGAAAAAGUAAUAGCAGUACAAAGAAGAGGAAAACCCUUGAAGAAGGAGUUGAAAGUUGUUGUCUAGAGUUUGUAUAUGACAAUGGAAAAAAAACAAUUGAAAAAAGAAGGAAAAGAGGGUAGUGAAAAAGUAAAAAAGGUCAUGAAAAAGUUUUACCAUAAGCAAUGAUUGAAAUUAUAGAGCAGAAUGAUGUUUCAAAAUUUAUGGGAUCGGCGGCUGCCAGUAGGCAAGCCGAUUGGAUGCAAUGAAAAGUAUAAGCUGGAAUGACUGUAGAUUGGGAGUCCACGAGCAGUAAGAAGACACUUUUUACAGCAACACAAUCCUCACUUGAUCUUCUUAAUGGAAACAAGAAUUGAUAAGCAGCGUAUGAAAAAGGUUAGAAUGAGAUGUGGUUUUUUGAAUGUGAUUGAUGUUGGAGCAGAUGGCUCGCAAGGUGGACUAUAUUUAACAUGGAAAGAUGAUGUCAUAGUUAAUUUAAAAAGUUUCUCUAAGAACCACAUUGACGUUAUGGUUAAAGAGGAAAAUGACAAAAAAGACUGGAGAUUCACGGGUUUCUAUGGUUCACCUUAUGUUAAUAACAAAAAUGUUUCUUGAAAUCUGCUAAAGAAAUUGGGGCAAGAUCAAACACAGCCAUAGUUGGUGAGUGGUAAUUUUAACGAAAUUAUGUAUUCUUUUGAAAAAAGUAGAGGAGUACCAAGUGAGGAGAGGAGAAUGGAGGCCUUCUGAGAGACUCUAGAAGAGUGUCAGUUAGAAGAUAUGGAAUAUUCGGGGGUUUGGUUUACAUGGAAAAGAAUAAAUUUUCCAGAAACAAAUAUCAGAGAAAAACUUGGUAGGGGAGUUGCAAAUGACAAAUAGCGGCAUCUUUUUCCAACAGGUAACAUUCAACAUUUAUUUUAUUCUAUGUCUGAUCACUGUCUACUUCUUCUAAAUACAAAUAGUAGAAACAUUUAUUUGGGAAACCUACGUUUUAAAAUUAAGGCGUGGUGGAUCAUGGAGGAAACGCUGGAGGAAAAAAUUAAAGUAUCAUGGGGAUCAACGACAAAAACAAUAAUGGAGAAACUUGAGAGAUUACAAUCUAAUUUAACAGCAUGGGCAAGAUCAACUAAAAAAAGGCAAGAGGGAUUAAAGAAAAAGCUUACUAAGGAACUGGAUAAGCUGAUGGCAGAAGAAAUGGAUGAUGAUAUGAUAGCAAAAAUUGUUGGCACCAAGAUUUACCUUAAUAUGGAAAUUGAUAAAGAUGAACUCUAUUGGGAGCAAAGAGCAAGGGUAAACUGGCUUAAAGUAAGGAACAAGAAUUUAGCCUUUUUUCAUAAGUAUGCUUCUUUUCGGAGACGAAUAAACACAAUCUCUAGGUUGAAGCUUGAUGGAGGAGGGGAGACUACUAGAAUAAGUGAGAUCAACGAAGCUGCUACCUUAUUUUUUCAGAAGCUAUUCACAUCAAAUGGAAUUAGGGAUCUAUCUUAUCUCUUAAUGGGCAUAGAAAACAAUAUUUCGUCAGAUAUUAAUAUUGUUUUAUUGUCAACUUAUACCGAAUAAGAAGUGCAUUCGGCUUUGAAAGGAAUGAGACCUACUAAAGCACCAGGAUCUGAUGGUUUUCCAGCACUAUUUUUUCAAAAAUAUUGGCAUAUAGUAGGGAAGGAUGUUACAAAGUUUUGUUUGGGAAUUUUAAAUAGUGAUAAGAGUUUUAGCCCUCUCAACCUAAUAGAUAUCGUGUUGAUUACAAAAACCCCAAAUCCUACAAGUCUAGCCAACUACAGACCUAAUAGUUUAUGUUCGGUCCUAUAUAAAAUUAUGGCAAAGACCAUUGCAAAUCGACUUUAAUUGGGAAAUGUAUUGAUGCGGCCCAAAGUGCCUUUGUCCUAGGCAAGCUGAUUUCAAAUAAUGUGCUUUUAACUUAUAAGGUUUUGCAUACUUUUCGAAAAAACACAUAGGAAAAAAAGGAUAUAUAGUAUUCAAGCUUGAUAUGAGCAAAGCCUAUGAUAGAGUUGAGUGGGGUUUUCUUAAGGAAGUAAUGCUAAGGAUGGGUUUUGCAAAGGAAUGGGUGGAUCUAAUCAUGAAAUGCAUUACCACAGCAUUCUAUGCAAUGAAUAUAAAUGGGGGAAGAGGGAGAAUUUUUUAGUCCAUUAGAGGCUUGCGUCAGGGAGAUCCUCUAAGUCUUUUCAUUUUUCUAUUAUGCAGUGAGGGUCUUUCAUCGCUGAUACGACUAGCAACGAAGGAAGGCUUGCUAAAAGGUGCUAAGGUUAGUAAGAGGGGUCCAGAGACAUCACAUCUACUUUUUGCAAAUGAUUGUAUAUUGUUCGGGGAAGCAUCAGACAGAGGAGAGAUGAUACUAAAAUGAAUUCUGAAAAAGUAUGAAAUGUGCUCAGGCCAACGUGUAAAUUUUGAUAAAUCUACUAUCUUCUACAGUUCGAACACAUCAGAAGAGAAGAAAGGUGAAGUAUCGACAAUCUUAGGUAUAAGAAGAUCAACAAACAUGGAAAAGUACCUAAGUCUCCCUAAUAUGGUUGGCAGACAAAAGAAUGAGUCUUUUCAAAAUCUUAAAGAGAAGAUUCACUCUAGAAUUAAAGGAUGGAGCACCAAACUAUUAUCACAAUGAGUUAAGGAAGUAUUCAUAAAAUCAAUGCUUCAAGCUAUACUAACGUAUGCUAUGUCUUGUUUUCUUCUACCAAAAUCUCUUUGUGGAGAAUUAGAAAGCAUUUUUUCUAAAUUCUAGUGGCAAAAAGCACAUGGUAAAAAAGGAAUUCAUUAGUGCCAGUGGAAGUAUCUAUGUCGACCUAAGGAAGAGGGGAGAAUGGAAUUUAGGAGCAUGGCCCAAUUUAAUGUCUCAUUAUUAGCGAAGCAAGGAUGGAGAAUCCUAAAUAAUCUAAAUUCUUUAGUUGCACAAGUUUUAAAAGUAAGAUAUUUUUCGAGUGAAAGUUUUUUAGAUAUGCAUUUGAGGAAUAAUUGUUCGUAUACGUGGAAAGCAUAUGGGCAACGAAGGGCAUUUUAAAGGAGGGACUAUGUUGGAAGAUAGGCAGGGGUACGAACAUUUCAGUUCUUAAUGAUGUUUGGAUUUUCGAUACAAGAAAUUUCAGAUUAUCAUCUUUAGUUAAUAAUUUAAGCAAUUUUAAAGUUGUUGAGUUAAUUGAUACCAAUAGCAGAAUAUGGAAAAAUGAGUUGAUAGUUUCUACCUUUGCAGAGGAAGUAGUUAAUAGGAUUUUGCGCAUCCCACUAACAGUUGAACCCCACGAGGAUUUUCUAGCUUGGAGCAGUAAGCCUUCAGGAGAGUACAGAGUGCGUAGCACUUAUAAACUAUUACAAAGCAUUGAAAAAGAUCUUAGAGCUUAUGCUUUACAAACCAACUACAAGAGAUUUUAUAAAAAAUUUAUGGCUAUUUAAUCUACCUUUAAAAAUUAAAAUUACAGUCUAGAAAAUAUCAUGGAAUUAUCUUCCUAUACGGGUCAACAUGCAACAUCGAAAGUUAAUAAACACUACGAUAUGCCCCAGGUGUGAAAAAGGAACAGAGACUAUGGACCAUCUCUUCCGUGAAUGUCCUGCCUCAGUAUCAGUACAGAGAGAGUUAGCAUGCCAGACUUUUCUACUUGAACCUCAUUUGGAGUUUUUACAGUGGCUUACCUGGGUUUUUGAGCAGAGCGCCUCAUUCCAGUGUAGGAUUUUUUGUUGCGUUUUAUGGGCAAUAUGGGGAGACAGGAACGCUAGAGUGCAUAGGAAGGUCAGCAGAUCUGGAAAGAAAAUAGUGAGUUUUAUGACCAGCAACAUUUUAGAAUUAAAAGAGAUUGAAAAGAGAAGCCCCAAAGUUUUCCAGUCAUCAGUAAAUGGCAGCACCCAUCUGAUUAGUUUGUAAAGAUCAACUUUGACGCAGCAUAUAAUUGGAGAUCUUGCCAUUCAGCACUGGGGAUUGUGGUUAGAAAUAGUGAAGGCAAGGAUCUAUUAGCAUGUUCGGAGAUCCAUCAACAAGUUGCAUCAGCUUUUGUUGCGGAGGCACUUGCGUGUCGAAGAGCAACACAAAUCGGUAUCGACAUGCAAUGGAAAAACAUUAUUAUUGAAGGUGAUUCAGUAUCAAUAAUAAUAAAAAAUGCAAGACGCACAGUCAGGAUAAAUCACUGAUAGGCGCUUAUAUACAUGAUAUUCAACAGGUCUUGUUUUAAAUCUAGAAAGUGCAGAUUUGAAUACACUCCACGAACAGAAAAGAGCCUAGUAAACUCUAUUGCAGCUGAAACACUGAAGAGUAAGAAAGAGAUUUUCCUAAUAGGAAGAGUCCCUGAAUAUGUAGAAAAACAGAAAGAAAGGGAUAGUGUAAGAGAACCAGACUGAAAAUGAAAGACAAAAGAUGAAGAAUGGAGAGUUUGAAUUGGAAAUCAAAAGGAUCGGUGGAAAAAGCUCUUCUUAGAAACUGAAAGCGUCUUCAAUAAGCAGUGGCAGAUGAUAAGACAAAAUGAAUUCAGAAUGUUUUUUCAGAUUGGGCAGAGUAAUGGCAUUUAAUGCGGAUUCUAGAGUAUUCUGAUUUUUUCUUUUGUUUGAUUUUUCUGGGUAAACAUUUUUACCUUGGGCUUUUGUUUCUUUAAUUUUGCUAUUAGGAUUUGGUUUUAGUUUAUGUCUUGGUCUCCUGUUUUGAAAUUUCCGGGCCCUACUAUAUUCCCGAGCUUCUUUUUCAUUUUUCUUUCCAUUAGAAUUAUUGUCUUGUAUUAUUGAUUUUAUAAUAAAGCCUAAUCUGCAU
rnacentral:lncRNA from 1 species